rnacentral:rRNA from 1 species
AGGACGAACGCUGGCGGCGUGCUUAAUACAUGCAAGUCGAGGGACGAAACCGGAGUGGGUAACCACUCUGGCUGAAACCGGCGAACGGGUGAGUAACACGUGGGCAACGUGCCCCAGACUCAGGAACAACAACGGGAAACCGUUGCUAAUGCCUGAUAACCCCUGCGCACCGCAUGGCGUGCAGGGCAAAGCUCCGGCGGUCUGGGAUCGGCCCGCGUCCUAUCGAGCUUGUUGGUGGGUAAUGGCCUACCAAGGCGAUGACGGUAGCUGGCGUGAGAGCGCGACCAGCCACACGUGGGACUGGAGACACGGACCCAGACCUCCGUACGGGAGGCAGCAGGUGGGAAUAGUUGGACAAGUGGGACG